rnacentral:rRNA from 1 species
GACGAACGCUGGCGGCAGGCCUAACACAUGCAAGUCGGGCGAGUGGCGGACGGGUGAGUAAUGUAUGGGGAUCUGCCUGAUGGCGGGGGAUAACUACUGGCAACGGUAGCUAAUACCGCAUAACAUCAGAUGACCCAAUAUGGGAUUAGCUAGUAGGUAAGGUAACGGCUUACCUAGGCGAAGAUCCCUAGCUGGUCUGAGAGGAGGAACGGCAACACGGGGACUGGGAAACGGCCCCGACUCCUACGGGCGGCCGCAGUGGGGAAUAUUGCACAAUGGGCGCAAGCCUGAUGCAGCCAUGCCGCGUGUAUGAAGAAGGCCUUCGGGUUGUAAAGUACUUUCAGUCGGGAGGCGUUACCCACAGAAGAAGCACCGGCUAACUCCGUGCCAGCAGCCGCGGUAAUAC